rnacentral:tRNA from 1 species
GGAGCGGUCGCCUAGGGGUCUAGGGCGGCGGUUUGCUAAACCGCUGGGCGCCCAAAAGGCGCCUCGAGGGUUCAAAUCCCUCCCGCUCCGCCA